GAGGAAAGAAGGAGGUCCUACGUUGGGAGAGUGUGGAGGAGAGGAGAGACACCAUGCCUGAGAUUAGUGCAGGACAGAGAGGCAUAGCCGCGAGGUGAAAAAGCCAGGAGAGCACGGCCCAGAGGGCUGCCCAGCUGGGUCCAGGGCAGCCAAGAUAGAACACAGAAUUUAGUAAGUAGUAACUCGGAAUUAUUGGCGGGAGGUAGUGGAAGUUAGACAGUCUGGCCUACCUUUUGAGCUGACUAAGGUACAUUAAAAUAUAAAGGCUGUGUGUGCCUUUCAUUUGGGAACCUAGACUAUUGGGGCGGGUAGCGAACUUGCUGCUAGGGUUUUCAUAAAAUUUAUUUCAACAAUUCUGAUCAUUUAAAAAUUAUUAUUAAUUAAUUUAUUUAUUUUACAUACCGAUCCCAGCUUCCCCUCCCCCUUCUCCUUCCAGUCCCUCUCUUCCCCCUCCACUCUCCUUCCUCCAUCUCCCCUAUCUUUGUCCAGAGUUCCCAGGAACUUAUAAGGAUGGCCCUAGCAAAAACUCCUAGAAAUUGGAGAUAAGGAAUCUGAAAUGGCUACCUCUAGUAACCAGGCAAGACUUCCAAUGGAGGGAGGGGGACACCAACUCACCCACAAAACCUUUGACCCAUAAUUUGUCCUGCCUAUAAGAUGUAUAGAGAUACAGAUGGGGCCGAAGUUGAGGAAAUGCCCAUCUAUUGGCUGGCCCAACUUGUGACUAAUGCCACAGUAGAGAGCCCACCUCUUAUCUUUAUGACCGUUCCUCUAUACUAUUCUGCACCCCCACCCCAAAAUCAAAUCCCUACAAAUGGCAUUUUGGGGCAUGCCUCCACAGCACAUCGACCAAACAUUUUGUUCUUACUGUCUUGUUAGCUUUUCCUGAGUUUCUUUUAGGACAGUGCUUUUGAACCAAGUCUUUGACAGCAUAACCUAGUUUUCAUUGUGAGGAUCACAAAUUCAGAGCCAGAUUGCCUUUGAGUUCUGGCUCCAUCUCUUGCUAGCUGUGUGACCUUGGGCAAGUUGCUUAAACUUCUGUGCCCAUUUCCCCACUGAAAAGGAGACAGCUGAUAGCUGAGUAGGGUGUUGGGGGCUGAGUCAAUGCAGCUCUAACAGCUUUGGCAGCGGGUGUAUAGCCCAUGGGUAAAGCAGAUUCUCAUUAUGUGCUACACCAUAGGUUUAAAACUCAGCAUCACCGAAAGGCAAAGGAAACCCUGUUCUUACUAUUUGGCUUGUAGAACUUGUAGCGAAUGCGGCAGUUCUUGUUGUUAGUUACUAUUGUGUCCUCUGCAGACGCCUGUGACAGUAGAGCUUGUCAAUUUUUUUUUUUUUUUGAGUGUGGAGAAAGCAAUAAAGAUACAAGAAAGAUACAUUCAAAAUACUAACCUCACCACAGUGGUCAUUGUCACAUUAGCUUUAAAAUUCCACGCUUUCCUUUUAAUAUCAGCGGUUUGAAUUCUCUACUAUUUCAAAUGCCAUAACUUCAUCCCUCCUGUGUGUGUAGAUCACUUCAGCCUAAAUGUCAUUGCCUUAUUAUUGUUAAUUUUUUAAGCCAUUGGGACUAACUUUUCUAUAAGAACUUCCAAAUUUUCUAAGUCAAUCGUCAGAAAGUGUUUAAUGGGAAGGUCAAAUACAGGCAAAGCUCUCUGCUCAGUGACUCACCUAGGACAGAAGGGAAACACUCUACUUUUUACCGGAAUCUGAGUUAAGAAAUAGGGGCAACAGAACAGAUGGCAAACAACUGCUUGCGUUACAUCAAAAUCGACGAGAAGCGAUCACCUGGUUUCCAGUCUGAGAUGGUUACACAAGAUUAGUGGAACUGAAAAAGUUACCUUUUACACAAUAAAAGCGGCUCCAGAGGCUUUAAAAGCAAAAAGAACAGCUAGUAAGAGCAUGGCUAAUGCUUACAGGAAGGGGCACAAUCUUACAUAUCAGAGAACGCUGUUACUAAUGGACAGUCCCAGAUUCAUGCACACAUGUGCUGCCCUGAUGGGAAUUUAGGGUGGUAUCAAAAAAAAAAAAAAAAAAGGUGAAGUUGGGAAGACGACAUGGGGAAACUUGGAGGAGAAUGGGAUGUGGAUAUGGUCAUAUUUCAUGUUUUCAUAUCUGAAGUUCUCAAGAAUAAAGAAAAAUCAUAAUAAAAAAGG
rnacentral:lncRNA from 1 species